GUAGGUGGCAAGCGUUGUCCGGGAAUUAUUGGGGCGUAAAGCGCGCGCAGGCGGUUCUUUAAGUCUGAUGUGAAAGCCCACGGGCUCAACCGUGGAGGGUCAUUGGAAACUGGAGAACUUGAGUACAGAAGAGGAAAGCGGAAUCCCACGUGUAGCGGUGAAAUGCGUAGAGAUGUGGAGGAACACCAGUGGCGAAGGCGGCUUUCUGGUCUGUAACUGACGCUGAGGCGCGAAAGCGUGGGGAGCAAACAGGAUUAGAUACCCUGGUAGUCCACGCCGUAAACGAUGAGUGCUAAGUGUUAGGGGGUUUCCGCCCCUUAGUGCUGCAGCUAACGCAUUAAGCACUCCGCCUGGGGAGUACGGCCGCAAAGGCUG
rnacentral:rRNA from 1 species